UACGUAGGUGGCAAGCGUUGUCCGGAUUUACUGGGCGUAAAGAGCGCGCAGGCGGUCGGAUAAGUCGAAUGUGAAAGCCCCCGGCUUAACUGGGGAGGGUCAUUCGAUACUGUUCGACUGGAAGGCAGGAGAGGGAAGCGGAAUUCCCGGUGUAGUGGUGAAAUUCGUAGAUAUCGAGAGGAACACCGGUGGCGAAAGCGGCCAUCUGGACGAGGACUGACGCUGAGAUGCGAAAGCGUGGGGAGCAAACAGG
rnacentral:rRNA from 1 species